AGCGAACGCUGGCGGCAGGCCUAAUACAUGCAAGUCGAACGAAGCCUUCGGGCUUAGUGGCGGACGGGUGAGUAACACGUGGGAACGUACCCUUUGGUUCGGAACAACUCAGGGAAACUUGAGCUAAUACCGAAUGUGCCCCCAUCCUUAACAAGAUGGGUGGGAAAGAUUUAUCGCCAUUGGAGCGGCCCGCGUCUGAUUAGCUAGUUGGUGAGGUAAAGGCCCACCAAGGCUACGAUCAGUAGCUGGUCUGAGAGGAUGAUCAGCCACACUGGGACUGAGACACGGCCCAGACUCCUACGGGAGCAGCAGUAGGGAUCUGCGCAAUGGGCAAAGCCUG
rnacentral:rRNA from 1 species